GGAGAGGUGGCCGAGCGGUCGAAGGCGCACGCCUGGAAAGCGUGUAAAUCUGAAAGGGUUUCGUGGGUUCGAAUCCCACCCUCUCCG
rnacentral:tRNA from 3 species